rnacentral:rRNA from 1 species
GCGCGAAAACUUUACAAUGCUGGCAACAGCGAUAAGGGAACCUCGAGUGCCAGGUUACAAAUCUGGCUGUCGAGAUGCCUAAAAAGCAUUUCAUAGCAAGGGCCGGGCAAGACCGGUGCCAGCCGCCGCGGUAACACCGGCGGCCCGAGUGGUAACCGUUAUUAUUGGGUCUAAAGGGUCUGUAGCCGGCCGGAUAAGUCUCUUGAGAAAUCUGGCAGCUUAACUGUCAGGCUUUCAGGCGAUACUGUCUGGCUCGAGGCCGGGAGAGGUGAGAGGUACUUCAGGGGUAGUGGUGAAAUCUUGUAAUCCUUGAAGGACCACCAGUGGCGAAGGCGUCUCACCAGAACGGACCUGACGGCAAGGGACGAAAGCUAGGGGCACGAACC